CACGUAGGGCGCAAGCGUUGUCCGGAAUUAUUGGGCGUAAAGAGCUCGUAGGCGGUCUGUUACGUCUGCUGUGAAAACCCGGGGCUUAACCCUGGGCUUGCAGUGGAUACGGGCAGACUAGAGGCAGGUAGGGGAGAGUGGAAUUCCUGGUGUAGCGGUGAAAUGCGCAGAUAUCAGGAAGAACACCUAUGGCGAAGGCAGCUCUCUGGGACGGUACUGACGCUGAGACGCGAAAGCGUGGGGAGCGAACAGG
rnacentral:rRNA from 1 species